GGAGUGAUGGCGAAGCGGUUCACCCUGCGCUGGAUCAUGUUGGGACAGCACAUAACCAGGUUGCUGCCGGUUCGAUUCGGGCUCGCUCCA